CAGUAGCCACGGUAAUACGUAGGUGGCAAGCGUUAUCCGGAAUUAUUGGGCGUAAAGCGCGCGUAGGCGGUUUCUUAAGUCUGAUGUGAAAGCCCACGGCUCAACCGUGGAGGGUCAUUGGAAACUGGGAAACUUGAGUGCAGAAGAGGAAAGUGGAAUUCCAUGUGUAGCGGUGAAAUGCGCAGAGAUAUGGAGGAACACCAGUGGCGAAGGCGACUUUCUGGUCUGUAACUGACGCUGAUGUGCGAAAGCGUGGGGAUCAAACAGGAUUAGAUACCCGUGUAGUCCCUGUCUCUUAUAC
rnacentral:rRNA from 1 species